CUUAAGGCAGAAAGAAGAUUCAUGAGGUACAAGGAAAAAGGAGGAAGUUGAGAAAUAAGCAUAAUCACAUACCUUCAGUCCCCAGUGAAAAGCCUUCACACUGAGAACUUGUGCGGACUGAGAAACUGAAAAGAGCUGAAAAGCAGGAAUCUCUAUGCUACAAACAAAAGAUGUGAUAAUGCAUCAUUUUCCACUCACCGCAGACAAGUAGACUAGUGGAUUUCCUGAGCCCUGUUCCCAAGUAACAGCC